GAAAUCAACAUGAUCAAAUCAAGUCAUGGCUAGAUCGGGAUCAUGAAUGAUCAAAUCUAAAGAUUCAUGGUCUGAUCAAGGUGGAUGCCAGUACGCUGUCAGACAAUCAUGAAUCAGAGUUCUUCAUUAGAAUCAGAUCAUGAUUAUUAAAAGAAAUUUCUUCAUUCACUAACCUUUUUAGAGAGAGAAUAUUUUAGAGAGAGAAAAUCCAUAUUGGAUUCUUCAGACAAUAUGAUUCAACAAAUUCUGAUCGAUCGGAUCAAAUCAUGCUGAAAUUAUCAUGUGGACAUUUCAAUAAAAUUAUGAGAAAUAAAAUCUAAAAAUACUUGACC
rnacentral:lncRNA from 1 species